rnacentral:rRNA from 1 species
AUAUUGGACAAUGGGGGCAACCCUGAUCCAGCCAUGCCGCGUGUGUUAAGAAGGUCCUCGGCUUGUAAACCACCUUAAGUUGGGAGGAAGGGCAGUAUGCUAAUACCCCGAAGCGUUCACGUUACCAACAGAAUAAGCACCGGCUAACUCUGUGCCAGCAGCCGCGGUAAUACAGAGGGUGCACGCGUUAAUCGGAAUUACUGGGCGUAAAGCGCGCGUAGGUGGUUCAGUAAGAUGGGUGUGAAAUCACCGGGCGUAACCUGGGAACUGCUUUCAUAACUGCUGGGCUAGAGUACGGUAGAGGGUAGUGGAAUUUCCUGUGUAGCGGUGAAAUGCGUAGAUAUAGGAAGGAACACCAGUGGCGAAGGCGACUACCUGGACUGAUACUGACACUGAGGUGCGAAAGCGUGGGGAGCAAAC